CCUACGGGGGGCUGCAGUGGGGACUAUUGGGCAAUGGAGGCAACUCUUACCCAGCAAUGCCGCGUGACUGAAGAAGGUCUUCGGAUUGUAAAGUUCUUUAUUUGGGGACGAAAAAAAUGACGGUACCCAAGGAAUACGCCUAGGCUAACUACGAGCCAGCAGCCGCGGUAUUACGUAGGGGGCAAGCGUGGUUCGGAAUGACUGGGCGUCAAGGGUGCGUAUGCGGUGUAGCAAGUUAGAAGUGAAAUACCUAGAGCUUAACUCAGGUGCUGCUUGUAAAACUGGUAUACUUGAGUGCAGUAGAGGAAAGUGGAAUUCCGAGUGUAGCGGGGGAAUGCGUAGAUAUUAGGAGGAACAUCAGUGGCGAAGGCGACUUUCUGGACUGUAACGGACGCUGAGGCACGAAAGUGUGGGGAGCAAACAGGAUUAGAUACCCGGGUAGUC
rnacentral:rRNA from 1 species